UUUCACACCUGUGAUGUCGGUUUAUCACAAUGAAAAGGGAAGGCGGUGAGAAUCCGCCACAGCCCCGCUACUGUAUAGGCUACGAAAGCCGCUCCCGUCGGACGGGAAAAGCCACCGGGAAACCGGGAAGGCGCGGCCGGAGGUUUGAAGCCUGAGUCAGGAGACCUGCCGACAUCAGCCGAAUUGA
rnacentral:ncRNA from 2 species